GUUGCCUACACGCAAGGUCUCGUUGCCACCUCCUCAAAACAUACAAGGUAAGAACAAACCAAGCCGGAUGAAGCUACUUUCCUGCUCAAACUCUAUAGUUGCUUCAUUGCCCUCGGGAAAGAGUCCGCUCUUCACCACAGCCUUCCGGGCUCUAUGGGUGUUGGCUCGGCCAGCCUGCCUUGUCUUCCACCCUGAACCUGGAACAGGCUCCAGUGCAUGAGUUUUUCUCUCACUCCAAGGCUUUUGCUUGGAAUCCUGCUCCCCCCACCCCAUCCUCUCCCCUGUAGAACUCCUCCUCUAGUUCCCAACUCAGAUGUCACCUCCUCCGGGAAGCCUUCCAAACCUGCCCUCCCACCCACCUACCGGCUCAUUGAGAUGCUCUUCUUCUGUGCUUCUCAUGCCCUUCCAGCUCCCCGCAGCCUCAACCCUGCCCACCCCAUCUCUCCCAUUGCUGAGGCCCUUCCAUGGCCUGGGCCUAUAGUCGUGGGCUCCAGACAGACUCUGCGGGAUGAACAACAGCCUGAGACCCACAGAGUCACAUCAGGGAAACAGCCUUCCCCUAAUUAAACAUGCAAAGAAAUGAGCAUCAGUCUUGGCUCUGAAGGCCAUUUUUUUUUUUUAGAAGACGGUGGCUCUCAAAAUUAAACACCACCCAAACACAUUCUUAUUUUGCAGUGAGAAGGAGUUGGGUGUGUGUGUGUGGGGGGGUGGGGUGGGGAGAAGCGCACCCGUCCUACUCCCCCUCCCUCAAAGCACAGAGCCUUCGGGAGGCAACUUCUUCCGGUGGGCCCCAGGGGCCAACUGAGACCGGCUCCCAUGCUCUCAAGGGAGGGCUCAAGCCUCUAAACUUUGCCCUACCUCCUUCCCUUCUUUUUACCUUGAAUGGGCCUGUUUGAAAACAAUCAGACUCUUCUUUGAGCCCCAGAGGCAUUUAUCCCUUAGGUGACGGCCUGGUAGUAUCCUGGGGAUCUUGUAGGAUGGGAUCCCCUCCUAUCCCUCCUGCAAUGUAGAUGCACUGAAACAGACCAGAGAGGGGAAGGGGCUUGUCUCUUCCACCUCCUGGAGGCGCAGAGGCAGAGGUCUGGACACAGGGCUCUUCCUGCCAGGUGGAGACUCUCGGUAGUGUGUUCUAGGCCCAGUGUGAUGCCAGGACUUCCCACCUGAGCCACUGGCUCCCCUCUUUUAUGCCACAUCUACUUUCCUGCUCUGGACUGAAUGAUGUCCCCCAGCCUGCCCCACUGAUAUGUUAAAGCCCUAACCCCCAAUGUGACAGUAUAUGGAGCCAGGGCCAUUAGGGAAGUAAUUAGGUUAAAUGAGGUCUUAAGGGUGGAGCCUGGAUCUAAUAGACUUAGUGAUACUAGCAGACUCCACCACGCGAGGACACAGCAAGAAGGUGACCCCUCUGCCAGCCAAGAGGGGAGCCCUCCCCAGAACCCCACCAUGCUGGCACACGGACCUCAGACGCCAGCUUCUAGAGCAGUGAGAAAACAAACUUCUGUUCUUUAAGCCACCCAGCCUGUGGUCUUUGUUCCAGCCCCAGAGCUGAGACCCCUCCCAGCCCCUCUCUGCUCUGCUCUUCCCCUCGCCCCUGCUGCUUCAUCUGUCAACACUCGGGUUCCUUUUCUUCCUGAGAUCCAGAGUGUUAGCCUUCUCGGAGGUUUCCCCCUUUACUCCCUGUCCUUCCCCUCCUUUUCUCCUGUUCCCCCUCUUUCUUCUCUUUUCUGCACUCUGACUCUCAUUUCUGCAAUUGUAGCCUCAUCGUUUAUCAUUUUCCUCUGACCCCUACCCAGCAUCUCCUGCCACCUCCUGGACUUUUCUACUUGGACAUUCUGCUGUCAGAGACGGGCAUCCACUCUUCCCUCCUGGACCAGAAAAUUCGUGCCCCCUCCCAACUUUCCAGUUCACACCGUUGGCAGCCCCCCCCCCUCCCCGAAGCAGCUGCAUUGCUUUGGAAUAAAUUCCCCAGCCACCUUGGCCCUCCCCUCCCUCUGGGCCAGAGAAGAGUGGGUGUGAGGUGCAGCCUUAGGGAGUGGUUAGCAAACUUGGUCGAAUAGUCAAAAUGCACAGCUGCUGUAGCCACAGGAUUUGAAUAGCUGGCGGGGGGGGCCUCUGUGAGUCAUGAGGGACAAAACCACGCGGCCCCCACCUCUUGUGUUUCUUCUUGGAAUCGGCUGUGUGGGUGUGAGCACCCUCUCACGAAGACCUCUGACGCGAUGCGUCCUGAAAGGAGACGACCAGCUGACCUGUACAGAGCACUCUGCACUUACAAAGCAGGUUCACACAUCUUGCCUCAUUUCCACCUUACGAUGACCCUGUGGGGCUGGGAUUGUUAUUCCCGGUCAAGAGCUGGAGCGAGGAGGCCCUGAGAGUGGCUGGCCAUUAUGGGUAGGUGGCCGGAUUGGUCUUCCUACUUAACAGGAGGAGGAAAGAGCUCUUUCCCUGUCAGGGUCUCGUCAGUUGUCACCUCCAUACAUGAGGGCAGUGGAAGCUUGGCUCUGUGGGAUGAUUUGCUCAGUUCUUCUGCUGCUCACUGCUGUCAUGAGGGUCCAAACCCACGUGGUUCUGACUCCAAAGUUCAUGGAUGCACAAAUUCAUUAGGUGCCUUGACUUCCAAAUCCCAGGACUUCCCAUUGACUCGGAAGGACUUCCCAAUGGCUCCUGAGCUGUGUCUUGUCACCCUGUCACAGUGGUUCCCAGGCUGGAGGGUCAUUGUCUCUAUCAUUACCCUCACCUUUGGUACUGCUUCUUCUUCUUUUUUUUUUUUAACGUUUAUUUAUUUUUAAGAGAGAGAGACAGACAGAGCAUGAACGGAGGAGGAACAGAGAGAGAGAGAGAGAGAAGGAGAGAGGGAGACACAGAAUCUGAAGCAGGCUCCAGGCUCUGAGCUUUCAGUACAGAGCCUGACUCGGGGUUGAACCCAUGAACUAUGUAAUCAUGACCUGAACUGAAGUUGGGUGCUUCACCGACUGAGCCACCCAGGCGCCCCUGGGACCACCUCUGAAGUGCUCACUAAUGCCUAACACUGCACCAGAUGCAUGAUAUAACUGAUGUUCUGGGGUGAAGUUGAUCCCCCCACCAAGCUUGUGUGUCAAAGUCCUCACAGCCAAUAGCUCAGAUUAUGACUAUAUUUAAAGAUAGGGUUUAAAGGGGUGCCUAGGUGGCUCGGUCGGUUAAGCAUCUGACUUCAGCUCAGGUCAUGAUCUCGAGGUUCAUGAGUUCAAGCCCCACAUAGGGCUCUGUGCUGACAGCUUGGAGCCUGGAGCCUGCUUUAGAUUCUGUGUCUCCCUCUCUCUCUGCCUUUUCCCUGCUCACUCUCUGUCUCUCAAAAAUAAAUAAAAAUGUUAAAAAAAAUUUUUUUUUAUGGUAGGGUUUAAAAAGAGGUAACUUAAAAUGAGGUCAUUAGGGUGGGCCCUAAUUUGAUAUGACUGGUGUCCUUACAAGAAGAGGGAGUUAGGACACAGACAUGCACAGAGGGAAGACCACGUGAGGACAGGGAGAAGAUGACCAUUUGUAAGACCAGGAGAGGGUGUCUUCCUCAGAAGGAACCGAUCCUGCGGUCACUUUGAUCUUGGACUUCUGGCCUCCAGAACCGUUAAGGAAGAAAAUGUGUGUUGUUUAAGCCUCUGGCCUGUGGCGCUUUGCUCUGGUAGCCUCGAAAACUCCUAUACCUGGUCUCUGUUAGUUCUCAAAGGCAUUUUGGGGAAUAGGGGUUGCAGUCCCAGGGGUUCCCAAAGAAGGCAGGGGUGCAAGGAGAAUGGGCCUCAUGAGGCUUCCUGGGAAACCUGCUGACAGCCAGAACAGGGCCCACAAAGUGGCAGUUAUAUGGCUGAGAUCUCCAUCUUGGGGGCUGGUGGCCUCAGCUCUAUGAGGUCAGAAACCCCGGGGUCAGCCCACUGAGAAUGGAAACCACCCAUCUGCCCCUGCCCGGGCCCUGCCUCUGUGCCAGGCACCUGCUCAGUGCUAUACACGGCAGCCCCCACCUUCUCUUCACUUUACACGUGGGGCCAGGGAGGCUCACGGGGUUUCCCUGGCUUGCCCAGGAUGCCGCCGCUUGUAGGGACUAAGGUAGAGUGUGAACCUGGUUUUGCUCGCUCCAGAACUGAGUCACGCCGGCCAACUCAGAAAGAAUGGUGUGUAAUAUAUAUACACACACAGCUGAUGUGAAGGGGCGUUCAUCAUGAGAGCACUCCCCCUCCACAGUCUGGCCUGCGUGAGUCCCUGGAGGGUGCUCCGUUCCCCGUAGCCAUGCUUGUCCGAAAGUGAUUGGUAAUUCUGGAAUUGGGGUGAGGAGAGUAAGUAUGUGGUUUUUUGUUUUUGUUUUUUUUCCAUUUCUUGAGCGAAUAGGGCACAGUGGUUAGGAGAACACACCCUCGAAGCCAGCCUGCACAGAUUUAAAUCUCGGCUUCAUCAUUGCCAGUUGUGUGAUCUCUGGGUGCCUCGGUUUCCUCACCCACACAGGAGGUCGUACUCACAGAGCUGUCCCACUUCCCGAGACUCUUGGGAGGACUGGGGUGUCCGUGCUCCCAAAGCUCCCCACGGGCCCCCAUUCCAGAUGGGGUAAGGACCGCUAUUGAGGGCCCAGUGUGCUGAGAGUCUGGAGAUCCAGACACAUUUGGGGCGGUCUAGGGCGGCUUGGCCAACACCUCCCUCUUGUCCCUCCUUUCCUGGACAUCCUACCCGACCGGCCCUGCUUUGUUCACUAUCUUCCUCCUCGUGGAACCCAGUCUGAUGCCUGCAGAUCACCCUUCCAGGAGUUUGGGAAACCAGGCUCUUCACUCACAUGUUCGCUCUGUCCAUGUGGGGUCUCAUCUCUUUGCUUUUGGUGACUUGAAUCCUUUAUCCCUCUCUCUGGCUUCGAGGCCUCUGCACAUGCAUUUCCCUUUGCUUGGAAGCUUCUCCUCCUCCUCUUUGCCUGCCCCACCCCUACUCAUCCACCUGGUGCCAGCUUGAGUGCUGAUCUCUCUGAGAACCCCAACUUCAUUCUGGGUUUUGGGCCCCCACAGAUCCGCCCAUAGAAAUGACCAUUGCACGGCAACUGCUCCUUCCUUGUAGGGGUCUCUCUGCCCCCCGAACCGCAUUAGACAUGAGUUCACCAAGGGCUGGAGGGGGCCCUCUUGUCCACUGUUGGACCCUCAGUGAGUGUCUGAUAACACAGCAUGGGCCUCACACAUUUUUAUGGACUGGAUACAUCUAAGGUGAUGUUACACAAGACAGCAGAAGUGAUUGCCGGCCCAGUCAUUCCUCCUCCAUUUUGCAAGGGGUGCCUUUGAUUGAUAUUGCCCGCUGGGGUGUAGAGUGAAACAGGGUGGAAGUCUCUGGGGUGGGGGGAGGGAGAAGGUUCUGGAAUUUCAACGAAGUGAGAAAGACUGGGGAAGAGGACCCUGUGAGCAGUCCAUUUCCUUUCUCAAUGUCCUCAAAGGGUUUUCAGUAAAGCAAUAAAGGAUAUUCAAUAAAGUGUGGUCCCCAAACCAGUAGAGCAGCAGCAGCAGCAUCACUCAGGAAUGAUUAGAUAAGGGAAGGGAAGGAAAAGUAAGGCAAAAACAGAGGGGAGGCAAGCCGUAACAGACCCUUAAAUACAACAAACUGAGGGUUGCUGGAGGGGUGUUGGGUGGGGGAUGGGUUAAUUGGAUGAUGGGCAUUAAGGAGGGCACUUGUUGGGAGGAGCACUGGGUGUCAUACGUCAGUGAUGAAUCACUGAAUUCUACUCCUGAAAUCAUUUUUACACUACAUGUUAAUUAACUUGGAUUUAAAUAAAAUUAAGAAAAAAAAGAUUAGAAAUGCAGAUUCUCUGACUCUGCCCUGGAUCUAUUGAAUCAGAAACCCAGUGGGUGAGGCCCUACAGUCUGUGCUGUAACCGGCCAUCCAUGGGUGUUCACAUGAACCAACUGCUGUAGAAACUUACGUACCUUUCAUCGCUCUUUGGAGCCACUCUUGGGCUUGGGCUUGGUCUUGGGGAGGGCUGCCUGUGAGGAGCUAGGCUGCAGGGUGACACAGCAAGGCUGAGUUCUGUUUCCUCUUACCCCCGAGGUCUCAGUGUGCAUUUGCUUUAACCUCCAGGUCCUGUCAGUGACCUCUGAUGGAGAAACUGAGUCUCAGAGAGGUAAGGAGCUUGGCUGAGGGAGAUCGCCAGAGUGAGUGAGUCAGGCUUUAGGGUUUGGAGCCGACUUCUAGCAUCAGUUGCGUUUUCCUAAGGCAUUUUGUCGCUGAGUCCAGGUUUCACGGUCUGCAGAAUGGGAACAUGGGUGCUUGGAGCCAGUCAUGGUUAAGGAUGUGGAAGGAAAGUGCAAAGAGCAUCAUGUAGAAGACGCUGUAGAAUUCCAGGUGCAUGCCUAUUGCUCACCGGGGAGGUGGCUUCACUGAUUUGACCCUUUUAGUAAUUUGGCAGUUGCCAUCACCAAAGCGUACUGUCCAGGACUGGGAGCCUGUCAACAUUGCUGCAGUUUCUGCUGGAGAGAGAGGGAAGGAGGGAGGGAGGGAGAAGAUGCCGGAAGCCUCCUGUUUGUUAAUACAUUUUGGAGGAAGACUUGGUCUGUAUCUGAUAUCAGUGCAUCUGUUCGGGACUGGGAGGACAGUCAGCAACCUGAGUCCUGGGGUGUGGCUGCAGACCUGUGGUCCCAAAAAUUGCCUGCUUGCUGGAAUCCCUGGGCAGAUUUUAAAAACUUCAUUGUCUGGCUGCAUUUGAGACCAAUGGCUUUAGAGUCUUGAUGGAUGGGGUCUGGGCUAUUGGUGAGGCCUCCCUAGGAAGAAAUGACUUCUGACUGACAUGAUAAAGCAUCCAAAAUAAAAUCCCAAAGAUGGUGACAAGGCAAGAGAAGAGGGGAGAGUCUAUUUAUUGAGCACCUGUUCCUCCAUGGUCACACCUUCUUCUUCUUUUUUUUUUUUUUUAAUUUUUUUUUUUCUUCAACGUUUUUAUUUAUUAUUUUUUUGGGACAGAGAGAGACAGAGCAUGAACGGGGGAGGGGCAGAGAGAGAGGGAGACACAGAAUCGGAAACAGGCUCCAGGCUCCGAGCCAUCAGCCCAGAGCCUGACGCGGGGCUCGAACUCACGGACCGCGAGAUCGUGACCUGGCUGAAGCCGGACGCUUAACCGACUGCGCCACCCAGGCGCCCCUGUCACACCUUCUUCUGAGCACAGCUGGGAAAGUUUCUUGGCUGUCAAGGACCCAGUGGUUAGACUGAUAAUCCAGAUUAGGCCCAGAUACUGCAGGAUAAUCUCCCCACCUCAAGGUGCUUAACUUAAUCACACUGCAAUGUCCCUUUUGCCAUAUAAAGGAACAUAUUCACAGGUUAUAGGGAUUAGGACAUAGACAUCUUUGAGGGUCCAUUAUUCGGCUUAAAACAAGUGCUUAGCACUGUCAGGGCUCAGUAAAAGUCAGCCAUAUUCCAGCAAUGACUUGGAGAGGCAGAUACCAUUAACCUGCACUGUGACCUUGGGCUGGUUACUUGGCAUCUCUGAAUGCCAGUUUCCUCCUCUGUAUAAUAGGGAUAAUGGUACCUGUCUUAUGGUGCUGUUUGUGAUAAUUAAGUGAAGUAAGGCAAGCAAAGUGCUUCUAUCAUUGUCUGACACAUAAUAAGCACCCAGGAGACAUAACCUAAAAUAAUAAUAAUGACGACAAAAAUAGCAUCGUCUUCAAUUUCCAUGGCACAGAGAAACAGGCCAUUGAAGAUUGAAAGGUCUGUUACAGACACAGGCAUGUGACUCCAAGCUCUGUGCUCUCUUUAGGAGAGGCAGAGUUCUGUGUAGUUCCCUGGGGAAGGACGAAGGCCGAGUGGACUCUUCAAGAAGCAAAUUUCAAUUCAUGAAAGAUCUUUUUACCAGGCAAGGUGUCGGGCAAAGGCCAAUCUCCUUCCCUGGCGGCUGCAGGGAAACCCCUCCACAGCCCCUUCUUCCAACGACCUCGUCUGUGAGUCUGGCAGAGGAGCAGGGUCAGGGCCCAGGGAGGUCUUAGGAUGCACUUUGCUGGCUUCCAGACCUCCCCCCUGCAGGAAAGGGGCUGAGGGCCCAUGGAGGCUCCCUGUGUAGUGGGUGGUUUGGCUUUCCGUGAGGAAUGCUAAGCUCCCGCCCCUCCUCUGUUCGUUAUCUUCUCUUUCUCAGGAAGUGACAGCCCUGUGGACGCACUGUUGGCAGAGGCGUUUGACAACACAGAAACAGAACAAUAGAGGUGGCGGCCCCUGCCCAUUUCGCAGAUGAGGAAACUGAGGCUCAGAGAGGUGCCAGGAUUUGCCUGAGGACAUAAUGCAGAGGGGAGAGAGCUGGGACCAGAGUCCAGACCUCCUGGCUCCAGGACCAGCUCCUUAUUCCCCCAUCCCUCCCAGGACAAAUGAGUGCGUUUGGGGCAUCGUGCCCGGUGCUCCUUGCCCAGCCCCCCACCUCCACGCAGUUGCCCCCUCCUGCAGCCCUUUCUCCAUGGCCUCCUGCCCAUCACCCCAAUGUGCCAAACUCUUUGCAGCCUCUGGUAUCUUUGCCCCUGCCAGUCCCUCUGCCUGGAGCCCCUGCUGCCUGCUCUGUGCAUAGCUGAUGCCUUUUCCUUUACACCUUGCUUACAUCCUUACAACCAGGGCAGUCGCAUCCGUGAGGCCCACCUCUUCUUCCUGUGCUGGUCUCGUUUUGUUUCUUUCUUUUACUCCCACAUCCCAAUUGGCUUGCACUGACUUGCUUGCCUGUCGG
rnacentral:lncRNA from 1 species